AUUAUUUAUUCAUUUCUAUGCUUCUGACUCACAUUUGCAUUUACUAUUUAACCUCUGCUCACUGUGAAUUGGUACACAAAACCUCCUCUUGGGGCUUGUUGUCACAAAAGACCAAUAUGUUUUAAAUGAAUUUAACUUUUUUGUUGUCCCAAAAGGACCAUAUUAAAUUAGUUUCACUUUCUUCCUGGACAAUAACCUGUUCAAUAAUUACAGUCAUAACUUAAACUUUUACUUUUAACACUGGGAAAACAGAGAGAGAGAGAGAAAAAAAGCUGAAUAAAAAACAACUGGAACUUUUUUCAUUUCUGCAGUCUUUAACAAUUACCUAUUUUUUCAUUCUGUUUAUUUAGUAAUUUAAAAGACUGGCCAAUUAUUUCUUUUUCAACUUUAGGUUGAAAUUCACGAGUCUCAAGUUGAGUUUCACAGAAAUGUUUCUCUAAUCGUCCAAGUUUGUGUUUUUCACCGCCCACUAACAGACACAUGAAGAAAAAAGUGAGCGCGUGAGCUGCACAGACGCAGAUCUCCUCACAGCGCGUGAACAAGACACAGAAUGGUUCGACUGAGAACACUGAAUGAACUGGCCCAUCUGAGAGACACUGAGUUUGGUCAGCCGUAUCCCAGACAUGGUCUCAUUCUGCUGUGGUGGUUUGCUGAUGAAUGUGUUGAAAUUGAUGAAGACGGUAAUAUGAUUGCACGAUGCGACCCCGAAGAUAGAGAUUUUGGUUUCCAUCCGUUCCAUAAUUCAGAAGAACUUCUUCCUGAUUCUGGCCUACCUUACUAUGAAUUGGGCAACCUGAGACAUCCAGGCGCAAUGCCUCAUUAUGUUACAAAGAAUUACGAGCAUGAUGUGCCUGCGAGCAACGCAGAUCGUAUUGUUGUUUCAGUCAAUUCAGACUGUAAUGACAAAUGGUUUGACAGGAUUUACGUGACACAUCACUUAGGGCAGGGGCGCUUCGAUGAGAACUGCACCUUCCGCAUCAGCCAAGGCCUCAUUGAGAUCAUUCAAGGCAUGGAAUGGUCAGAUUUCAUUGGGGAAGUUAAGGUCAGGCAGCGCCGUAAUCGGCGUGGUCGUCGUUGACCUUGUGUUAUGUGUGUAUGAUUAUCUAUGCAGUCUGGAUCCUACAGACACUCAUAACUGAAAUCAAACAUUCCUGUUCAUCCUAAAUAAAUGCCUUUUACAGCAAGCGUCUUCCUGGAAUUUUCACAACCAAUAACAAAUUCAUUAAUUUGAAUUGAGUAUAUUGAUUUGGGUCAUAUAAAUGGUUCAUUUGUGCCAUCACUUUGUGCCGGAUGAGAAGCUUUAUGAUUCUUCAUGUAGCUCUAAUUAAUAAGUUGCAUUGUGUUCUGUCUGUUUACUUACAUGUUUAUUGUUUAAUUAAUUGUGUCUAAUUUGCAUUAAAAGAAAUUGUUCACUCAAAAAUGAAAAA